UGGAUAUAUACAAGAAGAGAAGAGAUGUACACUGCCAGCAGUUCUGUUUAUUAUUGGUUUUAUUGUCAUUUAUUUUUGUGUCCUUUUAUUGAAACACAAUUCAAUUCCUCCACCAGGUCAUUGUUACUGUUAUCAACUACAAUGUACUACUGGUGAUACUGUUACUGAUACCCUCCAGUCAGUAGUAUUACAUGGAGAUAUUAACAUAUUCUCUUUAAUGUCUCGUCUCCUCCUCCUCUUAUCAGGAGAUGUUGAACUCAAUCCUGGACCUACUGUUGAAGAAGCUUGUAUAAAGCUACAACAGAUACUUCAUUCACAUUAUGAUACUUUGGAAAGAGCAACCAGAGGAAGUCUCAGUGACAUAUUGUCAAAGUUAUAUGCUAAUAAUGUUAUUACAGAAUCAGUAAAAGAUUCUGAAUCACAGAGCUAUAGUAAA